GAUGAACGCUGGCGGCGUGCCUAAUACAUGCAAGUCGAGCGGACAGACCAUGAGCUUGCUCCUUUCACGUUUGCCGCAGACGGGUGAGACACACGUGUAUCACCCCCUUAUCUGAGUGGGAUAAUCUCGAGACACCGGCUAUUACACCGGAUAAUCUCUUGAAGCGUAGGGGUCAAUAGAGAAAGACGGCUUUUGGGUCUCUUCUCGAUGGUUCCGCGCCGGAUUAGCUAGUUGGUAAGGUAACGGGUUUCCAAGGCUACGAUGCGUAGCCGACCUGAGAGGGUGAUCGGCCACACUGGAACUGAGACACGGUCCAGACGCCUACGGGAGGCAGCAGUAGGGAAUCGUCCGCAAUGGGCGAAAGCCUGACGGAGCAACGCCGCGUGAGUGAUGAAGGUCUUCGGAUCGUAAAACUCUGUUAUUAGGGAAGAACAAAUGUGUAAGUAACUAUGCACGUCUUGACGGUACCUAAUCAGAAAGCCACGGCUAACUACGUG
rnacentral:rRNA from 1 species